rnacentral:rRNA from 1 species
AGUAACACGUGACUAACCUACCUUUUAGUCGGGGGAUAACCUAGGGAAACCUGGGCUAAUACCGCAUAAUACCUACGGGUCAAAGCAGCAAUGCGCUGAAAGAGGGGGUCGCGGCCGAUUAGCUAGUUGGCGGGGUAAUGGCCCACCAAGGCAGUGAUCGGUAUCCGGCCUGAGAGGGCGCACGGACACACUGGAACUGAAACACGGUCCAGACUCCUACGGGAGGCAGCAGUGGGGAAUUUUGCGCAAUGGGGGAAACCCUGACGCAGCAACGCCGCGUGGAGGAUGAAGUCCCUUGGGACGUAAACUCCUUUCGAUCGGGACGAUAAUGACGGUACCGGAAGAAGAAGCCCCGGCUAACUUCGUG